AACCAUAGAAACCUGCGGAGUACCUGCGGAAGGAUCAUUAUAGUAUAUGGAAUCUCCAUUCUAUAAACCCACUCUGCGUAUCUUGUAACUGUUGCUUCCAUGGGACUUGGUUCCGCCACACCGGCUUCACGGCUGGUGAGCGCCCAUGGAAGGAGAAACAAAACUCUUCUUUGAAACGUAGUCAGUCUGAACAAGUUUUUAUAAACGUUAAAACUUUUAGCAAUGGAUCUCAGAUCGGAA
rnacentral:misc_RNA from 1 species